rnacentral:rRNA from 1 species
ACUCCUACGGGGAGGGCAGCAGUGGGGGAAUCUUUGGACAAUAGGGGGCGAAACCCCGUCGAAUCCAGCCAUGCCGCGUGAGUGAUGAAGGCCUUAGGUCGUAAAGCUCUUUCGCCUGUGAUGAUAAUGACAGUAGCAGGUAAAGAAACCCCGGCUAACUCCGUGCCAGCAGCCGCGGUAAUACGGAGGGGUUAGCGUUGUUCGGAAUUACUGGGGCGUAAAGCGCGCGUAGGCGGAUUAGUCAGUUAGAGGUGAAAUCCCAGGGGCUCAACCCUGGAACUGCCUUUAAUACUGCUAGUCUUGAGUUCGAGAGAGGUGAGUGGAAUUCCGAGUGUAGAGGUGAAAUUCGUAGAUAUUCGGAGGAACACCGAGUGGCGAAGGCGGCUCACUGGCUCGAUACUGACGCUGAGGUGCGAAAGUGUGGGGAGCAAACAGGAUUAGAUACCCUGGUAGGAUA